AGAGUUUGAUCCUGGCUCAGGAUGAACGCUGGCGGCGUGCCUAAUACAUGCAAGUCGAGCGAACAGACGAGGAGCUUGCUCCUUUGACGUUAGCGGCGGACGGGUGAGUAACACGUGGGUAACCUACCUAUAAGACUGGGAUAACUUCGGGAAACCGGAGCUAAUACCGGAUAAUAUUUCGAACUGCAUGGUUCGAUAGUGAAAGAUGGCUUUGCUAUCACUUAUAGAUGGACCUGCGCCGUAUUAGCUAGUUGGUAAGGUAACGGCUUACCAAGGCAACGAUACGUAGCCGACCUGAGAGGGUGAUCGGCCACACUGGAACUGAGACACGGUCCAGACUCCUACGGGAGGCAGCAGUAGGGAAUCUUCCGCAAUGGGCGAAAGCCUGACGGAGCAACGCCGCGUGAGUGAUGAAGGUCUUCGGAUCGUAAAACUCUGUUAUUAGGGAAGAACAAACGUGUAAGUAACUGUGCACGUCUUGACGGUACCUAAUCAGAAAGCCACGGCUAACUACGUG
rnacentral:rRNA from 1 species